rnacentral:rRNA from 1 species
UACGAAGGGUGCAAGCGUUACUCGGAAUUACUGGGCGUAAAGCGUGCGCAGGCGGUUCGUUGUGUCGGCGGGGAAAGCCCCGGGCUUAACCUGGGAAUGGCCGUUGAAACUGGCGAACUGGAGUGUGGCAGAGGGGGGUGGAAUUCCGCGUGUAGCAGUGAAAUGCGUAGAGAUGCGGAGGAACACCGAUGGCGAAGGCAGCCCCCUGGGCUAACACUGACGCUCAGGCACGAAAGCGUGGGGAGCAAACAGG